GUCGAGUUUGUAACACGCCAUUUAAAUUGGAAUUUCAUUUUUUAAUUUUUUUUUUAGUUUUCCUUAUAGCUACACUCAUAUAUAAACCAUCUGUUAUUCAUUGUACAAUGAGAUAUCAAUUAUUUGUUUAUGGCCACGAUGAACAUUUUCAUGAGUAUACUGUUGAAGUUUAAUACAUUUUAAUAAUUGCAUGAUAAUUGUUUAGCCGUGGAUUGACUGUGUGGCUAUGAUAUCUCAUUGUAAAAUCUGGAUCGAUAACCAGGUGAUUACUGUACAUUGUAUUCUUUUCUGAAUAAAGAUUUAUUUUAUC
rnacentral:sRNA from 1 species